rnacentral:rRNA from 1 species
GACGAACGCUGGCGGCGUGCUUAACACAUGCAAGUCGAACGGAAAGGCCCUGCUUUUGUGGGGUGCUCGAGUGGCGAACGGGUGAGUAACACGUGAGUAACCUGCCCUUGACUUUGGUAUAACUUCAGGAAACUGGGGCUAAUACCGGAUAGGAGCUCCUGCUUCAUGGUGGGGGUUGGAAAGUUUCGGCGGUUGGGGAUGGACUCGCGGCUUAUCAGCUUGUUGGUGGGGUAGUGGCUUACCAAGGCUUUGACGGGUAGCCGGCCUGAGAGGGUGACCGGCCACAUUGGGACUGAGAUACGGCCCAGACUCCUACGGGAGGCAGCAGUGGGGAAUAUUGCACAAUGGGCGGAAGCCUGAUGCAGCAACGCCGCGUGCGGGAUGACGGCCUUCGGGUUGUAAACCGCUUUCGCCUGUGACGAAGCGUGAGUGACGGUAAUGGGUAAAGAAGCACCGGCUAACUACGUG